rnacentral:lncRNA from 1 species
UGAUUGCACUCUUAUGCUUUAUCAACUCAUGUACUGGUUCCUUAAUCUGUUACAAUUCUGACACUUAUGUCGCAAAACCUGUGAUUAGUGCUGAAGAUGCAUAUGAAUUACUUGAGCAAUUAUACAAAUCAAUGCUGCAGAUAUCUGAUGUUAGCUGAUAUUUACUGAUAACAAUCAAAAUACUAAGAAUUUGCAAAAAAUCCCCAAUUAGGAUUUUUACUGAAGCUGCGGAUCUCCGUAACAUGAAUUUUCUCCUUACCCAAAAAAGCAUUAAUAACUAGCAUGAUCUUGUAUAUCUACUAAAGUGGGGUUCACUAGCAGUAAACCAGCUACGCCAAAAAAAAGUAUGCCGAGCAAUAUAAAAACGCAACCACCAGCAGAAAAAUCACUAAGAAUAUCUUGAUCCUUGUAGAAAGAACACAGUCAUAUAAAUGAAAAAAGAUCCAAAAGCCUUAAAAAAUCACAAAUAGUUUCACAAUUUGAUUCAAAUUAGAAAAGGGGUCCAAUCCCAUUGAGAUAGAAAAGGAAAGAAAGAAUUGCAGAAUUUAGAUCAAAAUUCAAAAUAUAUCUAGGAUUCGCCAUUGAGAUUUGAGGUUAAGCUGAAGAGAUGCUGAAACUAGAAGGAUUUUGAAAGUGUUCAAGCUAACGGAAUCAGUGAACCAAGAGGAUAUACCCCGUAAACGAGUUGCAGUAAGACGCAUGAUUUCUUGGCUGUGUAAGCAGGGUAAGAAUGGAGUCGCUUGGUUCAGGAGACGCUGGUUAGAGAAAUAUAGGGAAUCUACUGUUAGAGAUCUAAGUCGAGAAUUGGGGCUCUUAUUUAGUAGUAUUUCCUAAGAAUUUUCAUUCCCAGAUUUACUUAAAUCAAAUUUACUGGGAUUUGGUGGGUGUUAUUUUCUACAAAAUAUUUCAACUAAUAAAGACAAGAUGAAAUUCGGUUGAAAUAAAUAAACAACACUCCCACGACCAAUAAGACAAAAUCCAGAUAAGCAACAUUUAUUUCUUCUACAUUUCGAGAGACUCACUUGCACGUGUGGGCUACGAUUUAGAUUACGGAAUUACCUAGAAAUAACAUAUAUAAAAGAAAUUGAAGGAUUCCCGAGAUCAAAUGAAGUCGAAUCAGCUAGUCAGUGCUUAACUAAUAUGUUUGUUAGCUUUACACAUCAAGAUAAGGUAACAUUUACAGAAAAUAGCAUGCGACUGAAGUCAAGAAAGGAUGUUGCAUCAGAAUAUCAUAAUUCCAAAAGGAAAGCACAUACAACCGAUGAUUCCAUAGACCCUUAGCCAAAUGAGAAUCAGCUACACAAUUUCACUUAGUUCCUCGCUGCAUAUGCCAGGAACCACACAACUGAAUAGAAUCAUGAAUCUUUAAGGACUCUUAACAUUUUGUUUAAGGUCAGCAGCUGUGUCGUGUCAUGACCUCACUGGCCUACUUCUAGAGACUUUUCUUACAAUCACAGCAUAUGAAGGAAAUUUCCUUUGUUCUCGUAUCAUUACCUAGUGCUCUCUGCUUUCCUGCAUUUCAUUUUCUAGAUGCUAAAUUACAAGUUUUUGUCUAGCUGCUAAGGUUGUCAACAUUUUACUUAAGUGUACUUAUGCACACAACCAUAAUCGUUUAAAUGCAAUCAGCAAAGUAUAUUUUGCGAUUCAAACAGAUACCAAAUAAUCAGCCCAUAGCAUAGAUAACCCGAAAUUGCAACUUCAAUAAACUAUCAUGGCUUGCUAGGAAUGAGUUUAGAUCACUUGGAACUAAUAGAUUUUCAGAUGCUUCUUAGAGUUCUUUAUGACCCGGUUCUCUUUCCAUUGUUUUCUCUUCCAUGAGCUUCACUUACACAUAAUUGUUAUGUUCUAAAUAGGGACUAACAGAAAUGCUAAAGCUUAAACUUUCGUCUCAUGUAUCGCCUUUCUCAUCAUGAACAAAGAUACUCAAUUUACCCAACAUGUCCCCAAACAUCAACUCACUUUUUCAUAUCUAGCACCUUCUCUCUUUUUGACUCACAAAUCAAAUUACAUAGUUCAAGUGCAUGAAUAUGCUCUAUAUCAUUACCAACCUCUCUACCGAAGAAGUCACAAACUACCUAAACCAACACAAUCAAAGUCACGCUUCCGGUUAAAGCACUCGAGAUAUAACCUCACUAAGCAAACAUAUAAGCAUAUAACUAUCCUAGGACCCAAGAACGAAGAAGAAAGUAUACUAAAAAACACGUAAUCCUCUCCAAACCGAUAUAUUAUUUGCAUACUGGACGACAAACAGAAACAAAUUUAGAUAUCUAUUUGAUUCAUAUUUUAACAGAAGGAAAAUGAGCCAAAAAUAUUUUUGCCCCAUUAUCAACAACAAAAAUCCCUAAAUUCAAUAUUACCAAAGCCCUUCAUUUCAAAAGGAGCAAGCAUUAGAAUGAGCAUUCAUGUUAAGCAAAAUCAUAAACUUCAAUAAACCAAAGGAUAAAUUCCUUUGCAACUUCAUCACAGCAGAAAGCUAAAAUGUCAAGAAAAACAAGAAUUAAUAAAUAAAUAAAUAGUAAAACUAGGGGUGAUAAAACAGUUCCGGUUAUUCGGUUAUAACCGAAACUGAACCGGAAAACCGGUUAAUUGGUUAACCGAUAACCGAAAGGUUCUAGGAAAAUCGGUUAUUCGGUUUAACCGGUCGGUUACCGGUUAAACCGAAUUAACCGGUUUAGCCAUACUAAUUAUUAAUAAAUUUAGUAUAACAACAAUAUAGCUCAACAACAAUUAAAUUAUAUACGCCAGAACCCCAAUUUUCCAAUUCGAUUCAUAUAUAGCACAACAACAGUAGAAACCCCAAUUUUUCCAAUUUGGGUACAAUCGUCGGAACCAGAUUCCAGAAUAUACAAACUCCAUUCAUAUAUGUAUUUUAUAUAGCUACGUAUCUAAUCAGAUCUGUAUAAUUUCAUACAAAAUCUCAACCCAGUCAAGCAAGAUUGUCUGAGUCGGCGAGAAGCAGAGCAUACCAGGUGAUAGCUGAGGCAGCUUUCGGCAGAGGCGGGGGCAGGGUGGGGCCGCAGGCCGAAGAUGGUAGUGGCUGAAGUUGCGACUCGACCUGGCUGUUCCAGUCGGCGACUGACGCAGCGUGGUGGUGGUACCGCGAGUGAAGGCGCGGUGGCCCGGUGGGAGAGGGAGCGGAGUCGAGGUGCGGCGGCGCUCAGCUCAGGUCGGAAGAGGCGCGGUGACCCGGUGGGAGAGAGAGCGGAGUGGAUGCGCCGAAGAGGAGGCAGGCAUGGUGUGUAUCUGUAAUUCGUGCAAAGUGAAAAGUUGAAAACCCAGCCCUCUUUUUAAUAAACCGGUUCGGACCGGUUAAUCGGUUAACCGAAUCAAAAACCGGUUCGAUUUUCGGUUAGCUAUCUCAGAGUUAAUCGAUUCCGGUUAAUCGAAAAAUCGAUUCGGUUAUAACCGAACUGAACCAAUUACCACCCCUAAGUAAAACAGACAUGCAAUGUAUCGUCUGUUUUGUAGUAAUGCGUGA